UAUGGCGACCGGCGCACGGGUGAGUAACACGUAUCCAACCUGCCGACGACUCGGGGAUAGCCUUUCGAAAGAAAGAUUAAUACCCGAUGGCAUAGUUCUUCCGCAUGGUGGAACUAUUAAAGAAUUUCGGUCAUCGAUGGGGAUGCGUUCCAUAAGGUUGUUGGCGGGGUAACGGCCCACCAAGGCGACGAUCAGUAGCCGACCUGAGAGGGUGACCGGCCACAUUGGGACUGAGACACGGCCCAAACUCCUACGGGAGGCAGCAUG
rnacentral:rRNA from 1 species